rnacentral:rRNA from 1 species
GUGCCAGCAGCCGCGGUAAUACGUAGGUGGCAAGCGUUGUCCGGAAUUAUUGGGCGUAAAGCGCGCGCAGGCGGUCUUUUAAGUCUGAUGUGAAAGCCCCCGGCUCAACCGGGGAGGGUCAUUGGAAACUGGGAGACUUGAGUACAGAAGAGGAGAGUGGAAUUCCACGUGUAGCGGUGAAAUGCGUAGAUAUGUGGAGGAACACCAGUGGCGAAGGCGACUCUCUGGUCUGUAACUGACGCUGAGGCGCGAAAGCGUGGGGAGCAAACAGGAUUAGAUACCCUGGUAGUCCACGCCGUAAACGAUGAGUGCUAGGUGUUAGGGGUUUCGAUGCCCUUAGUGCCGAAGUUAACACAUUAAGCACUCCGCCUGGGGAGUACGACCGCAAGGUUGAAACUCAAAGGAAUUGACGGGGGCCCGCACAAGCAGUGGAGCAUGUGGUUUAAUUCGAAGCAACGCGAAGAACCUUACCAGGUCUUGACAUCCUUUGACCACCCUAGAGAUAGGGCUUUCCCCUUCGGGGGACAAAGUGACAGGUGGUGCAUGGUUGUCGUCAGCUCGUGUCGUGAGAUGUUGGGUUAAGUCCCGCAACGAGCGCAACCCUUGAUCUUAGUUGCCAGCAUUCAGUUGGGCACUCUAAGGUGACUGCCGGUGAUAAACCGGAGGAAGGUGGGGAUGACGUCAAAUCAUCAUGCCCCUUAUGACCUGGGCUACACACGUGCUACAUGGAUGGUACAAAGGGCUGCGAAACCGCGAGAUGAGCGAUCCCAUAAAGCAUUCUCAGUCGAUUGUAGCUGCACUCGCUACAUGAGGCGAUGCUAGUAUCGCGAUCAGCAUGCCGCGGUGAAUACGUUCCGGCCUUGUACUCACCGCCCGGUCAAGGCG